rnacentral:ncRNA from 2 species
CGUCCCCUCGGAAGCGAUGAAGCCUGUCCUGCACGUUGGGCGCCUGGGGCAGGUGGAGCGGGUGGCGCAACCGGCCGAGGGCGUA